rnacentral:rRNA from 1 species
GACGAACCGUGCGAACGUUAUUCGGAAUCACUGGGCUUAAAGCGCGUGUAGGCGGGACGGCACGUCGGUCGCUGAAAUCCCCCGGCUCAACCGGGGAAGUGGCGCCGAUACGACCGCCCUGGAGGGACGUAGGGGGGGCUGGAACUUCCGGUGGAGCGGUGAAAUGCGUUGAGAUCGGAAGGAACGCCCGUGGCGAAAGCGAGC